rnacentral:rRNA from 1 species
UUACCUACUCUUGACAUCCAGAGAACUUAGCAGAGAUGCAUUGGUGCCUUCGGGAACUCUGAGACAGGUGCUGCAUGGCUGUCGUCAGCUCGUGUUGUGAAAUGUUGGGUUAAGUCCCGCAACGAGCGCAACCCUUAUCCUUUGUUGCCAGCGGUCCGGCCGGGAACUCAAAGGAGACUGCCAGUGAUAAACUGGAGGAAGGUGGGGAUGACGUCAAGUCAUCAUGGCCCUUACGAGUAGGGCUACACACGUGCUACAAUGGCGCAUACAAAGAGAAGCGAACUCGCGAGAGCAAGCGGACCUCAUAAAGUGCGUCGUAGUCCGGAUUGGAGUCUGCAACUCGACUCCAUGAAGUCGGAAUCGCUAGUAAUCGU